UUUGGCUUGGAGGGGAAAGGGAAUUGAUGCUCAACCUCCCUUCUUUCUUUAUUCCUUCAAAAAUAUUUGAAAUUGACAAUCACGCCUUUCGCUCUCAACCUCUCUCCCUCCCUUCUAUAUAAAAGCCGUCCUUCCGCACCAAAAUUCCUCUUCGUUCCCACGGAUUCUUCCCCACCGUCACAGUCCAACCGCCGUCUUUCCCGCCAAAUUUCUUGUCGAACUAUGCCUCCGUCCUCCGACCCCGCCGUUCCCACCGUCACACCAGUCACCAUAUCCUACUCCGAGCUCCAAGACAAGGACAAAGACUUGUCAGUGAAGAUUGAAGAAGGAUUUGGACCAAAUGGGUUCCGGGAUAUUCUUCCUUGCGCGGGAAUCUUCUACGCUUGUCACCUAGAUUAGCCAAUCUGCCUGAAGAGGUGAAGAAGGUACUUGAAGAUCCUCAUAGUAGGUACAAUUGUGGAUGGAGUCAUGGAAAAGAGAAGCUGGAAUCUGGAAAGCCUGAUACGUUAAAAGGCUCGUUUUAUGCAAAUCCAAUAUUGGAUAGCCCUACAACAGAUGAAUCUCUGAUUCAAAGGUAAAAGUCUAUAGGGACAUCAAUCAUAAUCUGAGUACAUGUGGGAUCUGUUUUGUCUGAGGUCACACAGUCUAUGGCUCAGACCAGUAAUGUUUGGCCAAACUGUUGUUUGUGUUAGUUAUGAAUAACUAUCAUACAUUUGAUACAAGGUUUCUUAGAAUUAACCACGACAAAUCGUCUUUAUGCUGGGAUAUGUUUAUCUUUA